AGGCAGCAGUGGGAAUAUGCACAAUGGGCGCAAGCCUGAUGCAGCCAUGCCGCGUGUAUGAAGAAGGCCUUCGGGUUGUAAAGUACUUUCAGCAGUGAGGAAGGUGGGUAUGUUAAUAGCAUAUUCAUUUGACGUUAGCUGCAGAAGAAGCACCGGCUAACUCCGUGCCAGCAGCCGCGGUAAUACGGAGGGUGCGAGCGUUAAUCGGAAUUACUGGGCGUAAAGCGCAUGCAGGUGGUUUGUUAAGUCAGAUGUGAAAGCCCGGGGCUCAACCUCGGAAUUGCAUUUGAAACUGGCAAACUAGAGUACUGUAGAGGGGGUAGAAUUUCAGGUGUAGCGGUGAAAUGCGUAGAGAUCUGAAGGAAUACCGGUGGCGAAGGCGGCCCCCUGGACAGAUACUGACACUCAGAUGCGAAAGCGUGGGGAGCAAACAGGAUUAGAUACCCUGGUAG
rnacentral:rRNA from 1 species